rnacentral:rRNA from 1 species
UACGAGGGGGGCAAGUGUUGUUCGGAAUCACUGGGCGUAAAGGGAGCGUAGGCGGAUGUUUAAGUUGGAUGUUUAAAACCGGGGCCUAACCUCGGAGCGGCAUCCAAAACUGGGCAUCUUGAAUGGAACAGAGGCUGGUGGAAUUAAGGGUGUAGCGGUGGAAUGCGUAGAGAUCCCCAAGAACACCAAUUGCGAAGGCAGCCAGCUGGGUCCACAUUGACGCUGAGGCUCGAAAGCAUGGGGAGCAAACAGG